rnacentral:lncRNA from 1 species
CCCCUCUGUCCUUUCUUUUCUUUUUUGGGAAGGGGUAUUUUAUUUUAAUUACAGUAUAGCCUUCAUAUAGGAAAGUGCACAAACUUUAAAGUACGCAGCCCAGUGAGUUUUUACAUAAUUGUGUACAUACAUAUGCCCCCAGGUAGAGAUACCCAUGCCAGCUCGCCAGAAGGCUCCCCUAUGCUUUGAGCCAGUACCCUCUCAGAGGUGACCACUGUUCUGACCUCAUCACCAUAGAUUCCUUUUGUCUGUUCGCGUGAGUCACCUAAUGUCCUUUUGUGUCUCCAGCACUUUCUAUGGGGGCUCAUUCCCAUCUUCCAGGUCUCAGCUCAGAUGUCACCUCCCCACCCCCCUUCCUCUCCAUAGCACUAACCCUGACCUUUUUUUUUUUUCAGAGCACUUCUCCGUUUGCAGUUUCUGUUUGUGCACUAGUUUACAGUUUUUCUGCGCAACUAGAAGGUGUUUACCCACGACAAAACUUUGAAACACAAAUUCAAGGCGAAUGAACAAGUAUCCUUUGGAAGGGGCCAAAGACGAAGCAAGAUGGGAACUCCACUGGCGUCGGAGGCUGGAGGUGGGAAUAUGGACUCGGAAGUCCAGAGUGUCCACUAGCGGGCUGUCCAUGGAGAACCCCAGUGGCCAUCAGGACCAGGGAAGAGGAGCGAGAUGGACUGUGUGGACAGAAGAGCAUCACUUCGCAGCUGAGAGCCCUGGGAAGCAGCCUCAGACGGGUGUCUGCGCGCUCGCGUGCACGGCAGCACGAUUCACAACAGCGGAAAGGUGGAAGCAACCCGAAGGCCCAUCCGUGGGUGAGUGGAUAAACAAAAUGGGACCAUACCCACCUUGGAAUAUUACCCAGCCUUAAGAAAGGAAAUUCUGACGAGCUCCAACCUGGAUGAACCUUGAGGACAUUAUGCCAGUUGAAAGGAGGUGGCCACAAAAAGACCGAUGAUGCUGUGCGAUCCUACUCACGUGAGGUUCCCC